rnacentral:rRNA from 1 species
UUCCGGUUGAUCCUGCCGGAAGCUACCGCUAUUGGAGUUCGAUUAAGCCAUGCGAGUCGUGAGUCCUAGGGACUCGGCGUACCGCUCAGUAACACGUGGGUAACCUGCCCUAUGCUGGGGAAUAACCUCGGGAAACUGAGAAUAAUGCCCCAUAGUUCACCACACCUGGAACGGUGGGUGGAUGAAAGCUCCGGCGGCAUAGGAUGGGCCUGCGGCGUAUCAGGUUGUAGGGGGUGUAAUGUACCCUCUAGCCAUCUACGCGUACGGGUGUUGAGAGACAUCGCCCGGAGAUGGAUUCUGAGACACGAAUCCAGACCCUACGGGGUGCAGCAGGCGCGAAAACUUGGCAAUGCGAGCAAUCGUGACCAGGGAACUCCAAGUGCAUCGGGUAAGACCGAUGCUUUUCUUGACUCUUCAAAGGUCUUGGAAUAAGGGGUGGGUAAGGACGGUGCCAGCCGCCGCGGUAAUACCGGCGCCUCAAGUGGUAGUCGCUUUUAUUGGGCCUAAAACGUCCGUAGCCGGUUUGGUACAUUCGUGGGUAAAUCAAGACGCUCAACGUCUUGAAUUCUGCGAGCACGGCCAGACUUGGGACCGGGUGAGGUGUGGGGUACUCUCAGGGUAGGGGUAAAAUCCUGUCAUCCUGAGAGGACCACCUGUUGCGAAGGCGCCACACUAGAACGGAUCCGACGGUCAGGGACGAAGCCUAGGGCACGAACCCGGAUUAGAUACCCGGGUAGUCCUAGUGUAAACGCUGUGGACUUGAUGUUGGGAGC